AGGUAUUUUCUUUGGCUCUCCCCACCCCACCAGUAAGGAAGCUGGGGGUACACAAGAAGCUGAGAGGAGACAUGGUCAGGACAGCUGAUUACAACUGACCAAGUGGACAUCCCACACCAUAUGGUGUCAUGUUCAGCAAAUAAAGAUGGGGGAGAGGUUAACAAGGGGCCCCCUGCUCAGGGACUGACUAGGCAUUGGUCAGUUGGUGGUGAGCAACAAUUUUCACUUGCAUGACUUGUCUUUCUUGGGUUUUAUUUUCUCUCUUUGUAAUUUUUUUCUUUUCCUUACUAUUACUGGUGUUGUUUUUAUUGUUAUUAAACUGUCUUCAUCUCAACCCACAGGUUUUCUCAUUUUUACUCUUCUUAUUCUCUUCUCCAUCCUGCACUGGGCAGAGUGAGUGAACAACUGCAUGGUGCUUAGUUGCUGUCUGGGGUUAAACAUUGAAUGGCAAUUUGGAUUCUUCCAAGGAAUCAUAGAAUCAUGGAAUAUCCUGAGUCCUUGGAAGACCCCCAGAAGGAUCAUCAAAAUCCAACUCCUGGCCCUGCACAGAACACCUCAAGAAUCACAACAUGUGGUUGAGUGUUGUCCAAAGGCUUCUUGAACUCUGUCAGUCUGGUGCUGUAACCACUGGCCCGGGGGGCCUGUUCCAGUGCCAAGCCAACCCCAGGUGAAGAAUCUUUUCCUGAUAUCCAGCCAAAACCUCCCCUGGAACAGCUCUAUACCAUUCACUUGAGUCCAGUCACUGGUCAGUCUUUGUUAUGUCUUUUAUUUUUCUAUAUACUACUUGACCAUUAACUUGAGCUCUUCAGUUUUAACUUCUCUUUGGAAAAGAACAGUUGCAUCCCAUCCUGUUUCACAUCCUUUUUUAUAUUCUUUGUGGCUGAUUUCUCCCCAGUAAAACUUUACUACAGGUAAAAACUACAGGUGCUCUCAUUUUUCUCCCCAAGAAUAGUUUGUUAUGUUAGCAAACUUUUUAUUCUCAAGAUGUUUCUGCAUGGGAACUAACCAGGCUAGCUGCUAGCUAUUCUUAGCCAAAGUAACAAGGCCUGAACCAUGAUUUUACAAGGCCUUUCUUUUGUAAGGUUUUACCUAUAUGUGACAAUUAAAUCCCUAUUGAUAAUUUCAUUUUGGACAGAGUUCAAAUUGUUCAAAUGUCAGAGUUCAGAUUCAUGGAUUUAAAAUAAGUUUCAUAUGUCAGACAUAACAAUGCAUACUCCAAAUACUGGUUGACAUUAUGACUGUGUGGUUGAAGGUACAAUCUUACCACUAGAAACCUCUUUCCUCCUUUACAUUUUCUCAGCAUAGAGUAUGGCAUGUAGACCAUGCUUUAUAAAGAGGCAAAAUUUCAGGUUGUUGAAUUCUGUUUUCCUCAUGGGUUGUUCUGUAUUGGGUAAGUUGUAUUUCACUAGUCUCUGAGAUUUUUUUUAACUUGCAGGUAAUGAAUUUGCUCAGUAGGGAUUGUAAAAAACUCAAACUAGAUUUAUAUCAAUUCCCCAAAUAUAAUAUACUUUUGUAACUUUUCCAAACAAAAGCUCCAGUCACCUUGCUCUUAGCUUUGGGUUUUCUUAUGUAUAAGGCCAUUAUUUCAAUGAACCACAAAACAGAAUAUAGGAAUGUGGUAAAAUAGGAUAUUUUCAUGCAUGGUUUGACUCUGUAGCAAAAUGUGAAGUGACUUGCGUAUGCUGAGAAGUUCAUCAUUGACUUACGUAUUUUCAGUGUGCAGUGGGGCUGGCUUGGAGUAUGGCUGUACAGAAGCUGAUCGACAAUGCAUGUCCUUUAUUCUGUAAAUAGGACAUUGGUGAAACUGAUAGUUGUGUGUAACUGAUAUCAACAAGCUUGAAUCAUGUGUUCUCACCUGCAUGGUCACCCAGAGACAAGAUAUAUAGCAUAAUCUGCAGGUAAAAAGAAAUACAGGCUCUGGAUUUUUUUCAUUUCAAUGAAAAAAAAUUGAAAUGUCUAAAUAGAAAUUCUUGCUGUCACCCCACCCCAGAAUGACACUGUCAUCUUAACUGAAAGAGCUGUAAUUUAUUUCCUGUACUGUUUUGCAAAAAUUGUUUCUGUUAAGUGAAUUUUCAAAAAAAAAAAAAAUUAAAUUAUUAAAAAAGAAUGAUCUUAAUUCUCCAAAAUUGAGACAACUACCAAAUGUUUGCUUGUAGAGUUUGUACUUUUAUCAGUCUAACCAGAGGCAGAAUUCUGAAGUUCUAUACUAAAACAGAAAAUAGCUGACAAUUAAAAAAAGUGAACAUCUCAUCUGCUUUCAGCCUCCUUACAAAUUUUAUAAUGUUAAUAUUAAAUGGCACUUGGAAAUAACUGAGAGACAGAACCUGGAGUCUAUGCAUGAUACAUUCCAUGCUAGAAAUAAUCCUCAAAGUGAACACUGGUAGAGGAUUUGUUUCAGUUUAUCAUAGUUGUGUUUUUUAAAUGUACAUUUUUGAUUUAUAUUUGUCUUGAAACCUACGUGAAGUUGCCACUGAGUUGUGGAGAACUGCAGGUAGAGAUACGUCUUUAAUAUGAGGCUAUGAAAGUCUUUAUUUCCAGAAUACGUACAUUUUAAAAACAUAUGAAGAAGGUCAGUUGGCCCUUUGAAUUCCCUUGUACCUUUAGCAAAUAUUUUAUUUUGUUGCUUUUUUAUUUUCAUGCUUUUUAUAGACUUGUGUAUGAUAGACAGGCUUUGGACAGGACAGUGAAAUGAAAAAUUAUUAAUUUCUCCAUAGAUUCUGAUAAUUUUAUAUGAAAAUAGAACACAAUAGGACUUAAAGGUCAGUUCUUGCUUUACAUUAAACCAUAGGCUUUUUGUCUUUCUUCAGAGAGCUCUGAGCACUGAAGUGUUCAUUGCUAUGUGUAAAAAAAAAUACUGUGUCCUGCCUGUGAACAAUGGAUAAAUAAAGGCACUGUAUCUAGAAAACA
rnacentral:lncRNA from 1 species